AAGGGGGAAGCAUUGGUGAUGGUGCGGUUAAUUUGAAAUUAAUAGGUGGUGGUUUGAUUCCGCCUCCCCUUG
rnacentral:tRNA from 1 species